rnacentral:misc_RNA from 1 species
UCCCCCAUACACAUUAUAAUCAACGCCAUCACUACUUGUGGUGUUUUGUCCAUUUCCUAAGCAGCUUGAAAGUGAGUGCUUCAAUAACGUUUUCUCUUCUCCACAUUUUACAAUCCCUUCCAACAUCCCAGGCUCAACAUCUGGGCAAUUUGGAAAAUUGUCAGGAGUGGUAGCAACUUCAUCUUCAAGAGCAUCAACCUUAACAGGGUUGGCUUUGAGUUCCUCAGCUACAGAUCUAGAUUCUCUGCGUCUUAUUUGGCAGCAGGACUUGCCGGGACGAUGUUUUGGAGAAGAACCAACAGAAGCAAAAAUAGUCCGUCUUCUUGGAGAUGGACCCUUGUAUUUUUCAAGAUAACGUGGACUAUCCUUACGACCUUUCCAAGACAAGCUUCUAGCAGUUACUGUAGAAAAAUAAAGGUCGGAACCUGAAAGUUCUUCUGCCUCAUUGUUUCUCAUUUCCAAAUUGACGGAAUUCUCUUCUUCUUUAGGGGACCUAUUACCCACUUUGCAUUCACAAGGAGUAUCCUGCUCAGAGCUUGAAUCAAAUGUCUCAGAAAUGUGGCUAAUCCCAUUACCAUCCAGAAUAGCAAGAACACCUGCUGUUGCCUUCUCAGCCUUCAUUCUUUGAA